rnacentral:rRNA from 1 species
UACGAAGGGGGCUAGCGUUGCUCGGAAUUACUGGGCGUAAAGCGCACGUAGGCGGCUUGUUAAGUCAGGGGUGAAAUCCUGGAGCUCAACUCCGGAAUUGCCUUUAAGACUGCAUCGCUUGAAUCAUGGAGAGGUGAGUGGAAUUCCGAGUGUAGAGGUGAAAUUCGUAGAUAUUCGGAAGGAACACCAGUGGCGAAGGCGGCACU